CGCGGCUGUCAAAUCUGUCGAUUUCCGUAGCAUAACUUGUACCCGCGACUGCAACAGCCGCGUAGAGAACUCAAAGUCGCGGCGCGACUCGUCAGUGUUACCCGGCGAAAUCAAAGUCUAAACAAAUCGAUAUUUGCAAGUGGCAACACUGAAUCGGAAACCAGGGAUGCGCUAAAUCAUUCGUUCUUUGGUGGUAAAAAAUCUGGUUUUUUGUCGAUGGUUAAGUUUUUCCUGUCAAAGUCAAGGAACUUCCAAAUUUUGUCAACAUUUAAUUACGGGAAAAAUAUGAAAAAAAUAAUAAGUUCAGCAUUAUCCUAGACACGAUUGAUAUCCCAGCACCCAAAGGAAAAUAUUGUUAACAGGAACGUGCCAACGGGACCCGAAGUGGAGAGUCAGGAAAAGAAACACACUAGGCAAGCUUGGUGAUAUUUAAUUAUCCUACGCCGCAUGUCGAAGAAAAAGGAAGAGAGACAAUACUUUUCAAGGGUAAUAAAGAAGAUUCUUACAAUUUCUCUAUUGUGGUUCUAGAUGUUAAUAUAUAUUAGGUUUAAUAAUAAGUCGAAUAUUGCAAGAAUAUAUAAGGCAAAGCAAUAUAUUAUUAAUUUAAAUAUUGUUUUUUUUCUCUCCUGUAUUUUUACCUGAAAAGAAACAAAAAUAAAGUAGGUAGGUACCUAGAACUCCUAGAAGCCAUGAUUAGCUCCCCAAGGCCCACUUUAUACCUAAUGCUGACAACAACGUAUCAUAGCAUGAUCGUAUCAGGCUCUGUCAAACAUGAAGUGAAACAUCUAGAACACGGGUAUGAUCUAGAGGAGUUUCAAUAUGAUAACCGUACCUAUGCUACGCAGACUAUGACAUGAGCGUAACGACUCCUUCAAAUUAUUGUUGGUCGGCUCGGUCCAGUCACGUCACGGUAUGGUGUUGGCAGGGGAUGGAAUGGUUUAGUGGGUGAUGACUGAUAAUAUUUCAUACAAAGCAUGAUUUUGAGCCGGACAUGAUCCUGUUAUAGCCACGUAUUACAUCAUUCUGUUACAGUACGAUACUGCGGGCACAGGCCACAUGUAGGUAUGUUUUGUUGAAGUCGAGGAAGGUUCCAAACGGUACCUAAAUAGUAAGAGAUUGUUGAAAUUAGACAUCUAACCGUGAUCCUAAAUAUUACUACUAAGACUAAGGCUUACUUAAUAAGUUGGAUAGUUUGUUUUGA